rnacentral:misc_RNA from 1 species
CACCGCCACCGCUGUCGCCGCC